rnacentral:rRNA from 1 species
CAGUAGCCGCGGUAAUACAGAGGGUGCGAGCGUUAAUCGGAUUUACUGGGCGUAAAGCGUGCGUAGGCGGCUUUUUAAGUCGGAUGUGAAAUCCCUGAGCUUAACUUAGGAAUUGCAUUCGAUACUGGGAAGCUAGAGUAUGGGAGAGGAUGGUAGAAUUCCAGGUGUAGCGGUGAAAUGCGUAGAGAUCUGGAGGAAUACCGGUGGCGAAGGCGGCCCCCUGGACAAAGACUGACGCUCAGGUGCGAAAGCGUGGGGAGCAAACAGGAUUAGAUACCCGAGUAGUCCCUGUCUCUUAUAC